CAUGAAGCUGGAAUUGCAGUAAUGGCAGGUCAGCAUACUGCCGUGAAUACGUUCCCGGGCCUUGUACACACCGCCCGUCACACCAUGAGAGUUGGAAAUACCCGAAGCCUGUGAGCUAACAGUAAUGAGGCAGCAGUCGAAGGUAGAGCCAAUGAUUGGGGUGAAGUCGUAACAAGGUAAC
rnacentral:rRNA from 1 species